rnacentral:misc_RNA from 1 species
AAGUCGUAACAAGGUCUCCGUAGGUGAACCUGCGGAGGGAUCAUUAACACGUAUCCAAUACACGUUCAACCCCAAUUGCGAAACAAUUCCUACGUGAAAGGCGGUCCCAAGCUAUCAGGUGUAAGCACUGGCUAAAACCCAGGCUGCUUGGGAUCUAUUCGUUGUCCAGUAAGGGCUACCGACAGAUCGUAGCGUAACCAAAAGCACCGGUUGUUAGGCCACUUUGGCGUGGUCACUCAUUCUUGUUGUAAGAGCAAUCUUGCAAUGGGAGUGAACAGCAUCUAAUCCAUAGCCUAGCAACCUUAUUUACAAACCCCAAUUAAACAAACUAUUACUGAAAGGCAUUGUCAUCGAAAGGUGCAUGCUACUACGAAACAAUGAACAACUCUUAGCAACGGAUAUCUUGGUUCUC